CGAGAGACAAGAAACGACUUAAAAU
rnacentral:sRNA from 1 species